rnacentral:rRNA from 1 species
AUUGAACGCUGGCGGCAUGCUUUACACAUGCAAGUCGAACGGUAACAGGCCGCAAGGUGCUGACGAGUGGCGAACGGGUGAGUAAUGCAUCGGAACGUGCCCAGUCGUGGGGGAUAACGCAGCGAAAGCUGUGCUAAUACCGCAUACGAUCUGUGGAUGAAAGCGGGGGACCGAAAGGCCUCGCGCGAUUGGAGCGGCCGAUGUCAGAUUAGGUAGUUGGUGGGGUAAAGGCUCACCAAGCCAACGAUCUGUAGCUGGUCUGAGAGGACGACCAGCCAAACUGGGACUGGGACACGGCCCAGACUCCUACGGGAGGCAGCAGUGGGGAAUUUUGGACAAUGGGCGCAAGCCUGAUUCAGCAAUGCCGCGUGCAGGAAGAAGGCCUUCGGGUUGUAAACUGCUUUUGUACGGAGCGAAAAGGCUCUCUCUAAUACAGGGGGCUCAUGACGGUACCGUAAGAAUAAGCACCGGCUAACUACGUGCCAGCCGCCGCAGUAAAAC